UACCAAUCUCCCCCAGGUCACUUUAUCUGCAGUGAGCCCGGCCUCUCCUCAGAUGUCCCACCCCAGAGCUUGCUAUACAGUGGGGGACAUGCAAAUAGGGCCCUUCCUCUGCUGAUGAAAACCAGCCCAGCCCUGACCCUACAGCUCUGGGAGAGGAGGCCCAGCACUGGAAGUCCACAGUGUUCCAUUCGGUGAUCAGCACUGAACACAGAGGACUCACCAUGGAGUCUGGGCUGAGCUGGGUUUUCCUUGUUGCUAUUUUACAAGGUGUCCAGUGUGAGGUGCAGCUGGUGGAGUCUGGAGGAGGCUUGGUCCAGCCUGGGGGGUCCCUGAGACUCUCCUGUGCAGCCUCUGGAUUCACCUUCAGUAGCUAUGGCAUGAACUGGGUCCGCCAGGCUCCAGGGAAGGGGCUGGAGUGGGUCUCAUACAUUAGUAGUGGUGGUAGCACAUACUACGCAGACUCCGUGAAGGGCCGAUUCACCAUCUCCAGAGACAACUCAAAGAACACGCUCUCCCUGCAAAUGAACAGCCUGAGAGCUGAGGACACGGCCGUGUAUUACUGUGUGAGCCACCUCACCUGGCCUCAAAAUACCAGAUUCGUUAUGGGUAAGCCUUGCUCAGACAUGGGAAGAAUUAAGUCAGCACUUCCCUCCAUGUAA